AAAAAUGACAAAACUUUGCCAGAGAAAGACAAAGAACAACAUUUUAGGAAAUUUACACCAUUUGAUUUAUUUCCAGCCUUAAGACCCACAAAGGGCCAUAAAGAGCCAGGUGGCUUUACUCUGAGCAAUAAGUUUUACCUCAGAAUAUGUUUUUCCUGUCAUCUGGAGAACUUCUUUUCACUUUAUUCAUGUACGUUUCCCUAUUAUUUCAGGAAUUUCUUUAUCGAACCUUUACCUCAUAAAAGCCUUGUGAAAUAGAAAGAAGAAAAUGCCAAUUGUAUUUAUUAAGAGAUGGUUACCUCAGACUUUACCUCAGAAAUGGCAGAGCCUUGUGAAACGGAAGGGAGAAACAAAGGCAAAACUUUUGAAAAUUAGCACAGCUUUUUCUGAAGGGACGAGAUAAAUAGUGUUGCGUUUUAUUUAUUAUAAUCUGGUUUAUUUCUUGCCAAAGACCCUCAUGGAGCCAGAAGAGCCACAUUUCUUUCAGCCACAACUUUUACCUCAAGCAAUCCAGAUCUUUUCACUUUAUUCGUGUCUGUUUCCUGAUUAUUUUAGUAAUUUCUUUCUUUACCUCAAACUUUUACCUCAGAAACGGCAAAGCCUCGUGAAAUAUAAAACAAUUUCUAUUUUAGAAUUUUCUUUAUCGAACCUUUACCUCAGAAAAGCCUUGUGAAAUAGAAAGAAGAAAAUGCCAAUUUUAUUUAUUAAGAGAUUGUCAUCUCAGACUUUACCUCAGAAAUGGCCAAGCCUUGUGAAACGGAAGGGAGAAACAAAGGCAAAACUUUUGAAAAUUAGCACAGCUUUUUCUGCAGGGACCAGCCUUAAGACCCAUAACAUGCUAUGCUGAAAAUUAUAUAUAUAUAUAUAUACACAAAAGGUCGAAGAGACAGAAGACAGAAGAUGCUUGAAGACACUCUCGCAAGGACACCGCCCGCCCCCCCAAAAAGGUCAUUGUCAGGGUAAUGGGUGUCAGGCUAGGCAUUUAAUGUCUAUCUUUGCAAUAAAAAACAGGCUACCUGUGUGCUAGGCUUUUGCAUGAAGAACACGGUUCCCCUCGUGUGUGGCAUCGAAGUUUCCCACUCGGGAACGGACGGGUCCUCCCUUUGUUCUAGGCAGAUGAUGGGGGUUUUCCUAUACAAGCCGUAGGGGCCACAGCUUGGGGGGCAGCGGGGGGCCCGGCCCUGGCACCGCGGGGAGCAGCACACCUUACGGGCAUUUUAAAAGCUCCCUUAAACUUAGACAGUGGCUAGAAAUAAAAAUAUUAAUACCUUAACUCACCUACUAACCCUACUAACACCAUUCUAACUAGGGCAGCCUGGCCUUUUAAAUAGGACUGUGUUUUGCCUGCUGGCAAGAACCAAGCUGGGAGGGAAGGGGGCCUCCUGGCCCCCCAUAGAAGGGCUCCCCUAGAAGGACAUUCAAAAUGCCCGCAAGGUGUCCUGAGAGCAGCCCCUGGGGCCCUCAGUGUGCCCCCCACGGUGCCAGGGCUGGGCCCCCCGCUCUCCCCCAACCCAUGACCCCUGCCGCCUGUAUAUCGUCCGCCCAGGGCCAACGGACGCCCCCUCCCUCCCCGGGCGGAGCUUCGGCGCCACACACAAGGGGAGGCCAGCCGUGGCCGCCAGAACAUGGAGAACCUGGUUUUUGACUGCAAACAUAGGCAUGUAGGGACCCCCUUUUAUUUAUGUAAGGCCACCCACCCAGGGGACCUCUGUUCCUAAUUAAAGCCUGGUUAAAGGGGAUCCUCUAUUCUUAAAGUAAGGCCUAUAGAGAUCUCCUAUCCAGAAACUAAGGCGGCUUGGCCUAUAGAGAUCCCCUUUUGUUAAACUAAGGUGGCCUGGCCUAUAGAGAUCUCCUAUCCAGAAACUAAGGCGGCCUGGCCUAUAGAGAUCCCCUUUUGUUAAACUAAGGUGGCCUGGCCUAUAGAGAUCUCCUUUUGUUAAACUAAAGUGGCCUGGCCUAUAGGGAUCUCCUUUUGUUAAACUAAAGUGGCCUGGCCUAUAGAGAUCUCCUUUUGUUAAACUAAGGUGGCCUGGCCUAUAGGGAUCUCCUUUUGUUAAACUAAGGUGGCCUGGCCUAUAGAGAUCUCUUGUUGUUAAACUAAGGUGGCCUGGCCUAUAGAGAUCUCCUUUUGUUAAACUAAGGUGGCCUGGCCUAUAGAGAUCCCCUUUUGUUAAACUAAAGUGGCCUGGCCUAUAGAGAUCUCCUAUUCUUUAAGGUAAUGCCAGGCGAUGUGGAGAUCCCUGGUUCUUUUAACCCUUAAGGCCAACCGUGGGGAGAUCCCUGGUUCUUUUAACCCUGAAGGCCAACCGUGGGGAGAUCCCUGGUUCUUUUAACCCUUAAGGCCAACCGUGGGGAGAUCCCUGCUUCUUUUAACCCUGAAGGCCUGCCUGGGGAGAUAUCCUAUUCUUUUUUCAUGAAAAGUCAGGUAUAGACCUUCUCUUUUCUCUCCCGUUUCAUGUGCCUGGACUCCCGGAGGGCUCCUGCCGGACACCGUCUCCCAUCGGCCGAGAGGGAUCCUUCCUGUUUGGAAAGCAUCUGCUACACAGGUAAAAAGAAGAUUCCGGGAAGGAGAUUCCUACAGCGGAGCCCUAAAGCCAGGUGAGACGUUCCUUCCAACCUCCACGGCUGCUUUGCACACACACACAUGACACACACACACACGCAUAUACAGCUGGGGGCCCUCAGGGACUCUCCCCCCAAUAGAUCGGGGACUCCCACUCCGGCAAUUGGCCAUUGUAAAUGCCUUGAAGCAGUUUGGGGCUUCCGGCCAAGCGCUCGCAAAGAGAACCCAUUCAAGGUAUACGUGGAGCCCCUUUUAUUUAUUAUUUAUUGACAGCAUUUCUAUUCCGCCCUUCUUUCUCACCCCAAAGGGGACUCAGGGCGGAUCACAUGACACAUAUAGGCAAACAUUCAGUGCCUUUUAACAUAGAACAAAGACAAACAAACAUAAGCUCCGAGCGGGUCUCGAACUCAUGACCUCCUGGUCAGAGUGAUUCAUUGCAGUUAUAAUUGCAGCUGGCUUGCUCUCCCGCCUGCGCCACAGCCCGGGCCAACCUUGAUAAAAAGGGCCUGGCACGUGGAAAACUCUAUUUGUAAGGCAAACCCUCGUUAAAGGAGGUUUGCAAUUAAUUUAAAACCAGGCUUCUGAGGGACCCGCUGCGUUUAAAGCCAAACCUAGCAGGUGGGAACCUCUCUUGUUGGAUAAAGGAGAUCCCCUCUGGUUAACGUAAGGGGAGGGACCCUCCAUUUUUAAUAGGAUGCCUGGCAGAAUCUUAACCUCAAUGCAGGCCUAUGGGGUCCAGCCUUAUUCUCAAUGACUGCAUAGCCAGGCAUGAAGGGACCCCAUAUUAUUAAUUUGAAGCCUGGUAAAAAGAGAUUUAUGUAUUUAUUUAUUUACUACAUUUAUACCCCGCCCUCUUUUCCCUUAAAGGGGACUCAGAGCGGCUUACAAGUUAUAUUUACAUACACUAUCUCAUUAGCAUAGCACAAUAUUAGCAUUAUAUAUUACUACAUUGCACUAUACCACUAUAUAGAAAUAUUGUUACCAAUAUUACAUUUAAAAUAUAAUAUGUAAUUAAUAUUAUUGUAUCAUUGUUAGUAUUAUAUUGCUUUAUUUAUUUAUUUAUUUAUUAGAUUUAUAUGCUGCCCUUCUCACCCCGAAGGGGACCCAGAACGGCUUAAAAAUUAAAUUUACAUACAAUAUUAUAUUAUUAGCAUAGUACAAUACUGGCAAUAAAUUACUAUAUUGUACUAUAUCAAUAUAUGGUAGUAUUAUUAGUAAUAUUACAUGCAAAACAUAAUAUAUAAUUAAUAUUAUUAUAUUGUAUUAUUAGUAUAUCGUAUUACAAUAUAAUAUUAUGAAUAUAUGUAUAUACAAUAUGUUGUAAUUAUUAUAUAUUAAAUUUUAUAUAUAUAUAUAUAUAUAUAUAUAUAUAUACACACACAGUAGAGUCUCAUUUAUCCAACAUAAACGGGCCAGCAGAAUGUUGGAUAAGCGAAUAUGUUGGAUAAUAAGGAGGGAUUAAGGAAAAGCCUAUUAAACAUCAAAUUAGUUUAUGAUUUUACAAAUUAAGCACCAAAUCAUCAUGUUAUACAACAAAUUUGACAAAAAAAGUAGUUCAAUAUGCAGUAAUGCUAUGUAGUAAUUACUGUAUUUAUGAAUUUAGUACCAAAAUAUCAUGAUGUCUUGAAAACAUUGUCUACAAAAAUGCGUUGGAUAAUCCAGAAUGUUGGAUAAGCGAGUGUUGGAUAAGUGAGACUCUACUGUAUAUAAAAAUUAGAAUAGCAUGUUAUUAGGGGAAGAGCAUCUUAAUUAUUAGAUGUCAGUAUUAGUCAUUAGAUGUUAAUAUUAGUUAUUCAUAUUAGUAUCAAUAUUACAUUAAUAUACAAUAAAGCAGGGGUCCCCAAACUAAGGCCCGUGUGCGGGAUGCGGCCCAUCGAAGCCAUUUAUCCGGCCCCCACAGCACAACCCUUAUUAUUAUUAUUAUUAUUAUUAUUAUUAUUAUUAUUAUUAUUAUUAUUAGCAUUGAGGCUGGGUGGCCAUCUGUCAGGGGUGCUUUGCUUGUGCUUUCGGUGCACAAAGGCAGAAAGGGAUUGGACUCAAUGGCCAACCCUUCCAACCCUCAUUAUUAUUAUUAUUAUUAUUAUUAUUAUUAUUAUUAUUAUUAUUAAUUAUUAUUAUUGCUUGGUGGCCAACUAUAGUCUGGCCCUGCAAUGGUCUGAAGGAUCGUGAACUGGCUCCCUGUUUAAAAGGUUUGGGGACCCCUGCAAUAGAGUAUAUUAUUAUCCUAGCACAAUGUUAUUAUGUUAUAUAGUAGUAUGUAUGUUCAUAUUAUUUAUUCAUAUUAGUAUCAAUAUGACAUUAAUAUACAAUAGAGUCUAUUAUUAUCCUAGCACAAUAUUAGUAUGUUAUAUAGUAGUAUGUUGUUGCUAGGGGGAGGGGCCCCCCACUGAUGGAGAGGGCCCCCCCACUGAGAUCCCCUGUCAUUAAUGUUAGACCAGGCAUUUAACGCCUACCUUUGCAUUCAAGAGCAGGCUCCUAGGCCUUUGCAUUCAAGAGCAGUGCGCUAGGCCUUUGCGCAAGGAACACCACCCACGGCUCCCCUUGUGCGUGGCGUUGAGGCCCCACUCGGUGACGGACGGGUCCUCCCUUUGCCCUGGGCAGGUCGUGGGGGGGGGUCUCCCUGCACAGGCAGGGGGUCACGGCUGGGGGGAGAGCGGGGGCCCGGCCUUGGCACCCCCCUGGGGACCCGAGGGGCCGCUCUCAGCCCACGUCACGGGCAUUUUAAAACGUCCCCGGGAUAUGUAGUAGCUCAGAUUAAUCCCUGCACUAACCGCUAACCCUACUAACCCAGUUCUAACCAGGGCAGGCUAGGCUUUUAAAUAGGACUGUUUUUGCCUGUUGGCAAGAACCAAGUGGGAGGGGGCCUCCGGGCCUCCCGUGGGAAGAAGGGCUCCGGCCCCCCCGGCCCCCCGGCCCCUGCCCUGUGCUGGGAGCCCCCCGCCCGGGCCCCCAGAGGCCUCCCUGUGGUACCGGGCUUGGCCCCCGCUCUGCCCCCAUCCGACGGCAUAGGAAAGCCCCCCACCAUCCGCCCAGGGCCAACGGACGGCCCUCCCUCCCAGGGGCAGCCGCGUUCCUCACGCAAAGGUCUGGCGCACGGGAGCCUGUUUCUGAAUGCAAACGUGGGGCCCAGGACCCCCCCCCCCUUGUCUCCGUGCAGGGCCACCCCCCCAGGGACCCCCACAAAUGCCUGGUGACAGGGGAUCCUCUCCUCUUAGCAGGAGGAAAAGCCACGUGCGUAAAGCGGUGGCUUUGCUCCCGUCGUUCCCAAGAGCCCCCCAAAAGCGAGAUGCUCCCCUGGGUUCAGCCCUCCUGACCCCUCUUUUCUCCCUUGUUCCAUGUCUCCAAAAUCCCCGAGGGAGGGGCUCCUCCUGGACAAGAGCCAAGGACGGACGGACGGAGAUCCCAGAGAGAGAGCGGAGAGCAGGACGCCUUGCCUUUUCGGAGCUGCUGAGGUCGACCCCUUUCCAACGAUGUCAGCUUUCAAGAAUAAAACUCUUCCCAAAAAAGUGUGUUCUGGUUAUUAUUCAAAGGCACAACGUUCAAUAUUUGACAGCAUUAAACAUCUAGAUUACAGGACAGUUUAUGUUACUGCAUUUUAUACACCUGACCUUGUUUUUACAAAUAAAGUACCUGUAUAAUUUUUGCCUCUAUAUAUAUAUAUUGUACUAUGCUCAGACUCACUGUUCUGAUAUGCUGUUAUAUGGUUUAAUUGUUUAUAUUGUUUAUAUUUUUAAUGUAUGACUGUUUAUUACAUGUGACAUUGGGCUUGUUUCCCAUGUGAGCCACCCCGAGUCCUCCUGGGGGAGAUGGGAGAGGGAAUAUAAAAAUAAAGUAUUAUUUUGUAUUAUUAUUAUUAUUUAUAAUAUUUAUUAUAUAUAAUUUUCUUGCACCCCAAGUACCUCUGGCAAGUGCCAAAGAGUAUUUAACUCUGCCUACAUGGCACUAAAGUGUAUUUAUAUGUUGAUUGUUCCUAUUGAUUUUAUGUUAUGUUUUUUUUUUGCUUUGUAUAAUAAGGCAUUGAAUUUUUGCCUUAAUAAUAAUAAUUUUAUGAAUGUUUUAAUGUCACUGAAUUUUAAAUUGAAUUGAAAUGUCAUUGUAAUUGUUUAUAUGUGUAUUUUCUAUUUGUAAGCCACCCUGAGUCUCCCCUUAUUGGGUGAGAAGGUUUGGGAAGAAAUACUGUCAUAAAUAAAUAAAUAUUCUGUGUCCA